GAUGAAGAACGUAGCGAAAUGCGAUAAGUAAUGUGAAUUGCAGAAUUCAGUGAAUCAUCGAAUCUUUGAACGCACAUUGCGCCCCCUGGUACUCCGGGGGGCAUGCCUGUCCGAGCGUCAUUACAACCCUCAAGCUCAGCUUGGUGUUGGGCCCCGCCGCCCCGGCGGGCCCUAAAGUCAGUGGCGGUGCCGUCCGGCUCCGAGCGUAGUAAUUCUUCUCGCUCUGGAGGUCCGGUCGUGUGCUCGCCAGCAACCCCCAAUUUUUUUCAGGUUGACCUCGGAUCAGGUAGGGAUACCCGCUGAACUUAAGCAUAUCAAUAAGCGGAGGA
rnacentral:misc_RNA from 1 species